rnacentral:rRNA from 1 species
AACGAACGCUGGCGGCAUGCCUAACACAUGCAAGUCGAGCGGGGACAGAACUUCGGUUCUGUUCGAGCGGCGGACGGGUGAGUAACGCGUGAACAAUCUGUCUCGGACAGGGGGAUACCACUUGGAAACAGGUGCUAAAACCGCAUAAGACCACGGGUCCGCAUGGGCUUGGGGUAAAAGGAGGAAUCCGGUUCGAGGUGAGUUCGCGUCCCAUUAGAUAGUUGGCGGGGUAACGGCCCACCAAGUCAGCGAUGGGUAGCCGGCCUGAGAGGGCGAACGGCCACACUGGAACUGAGAGACGGUCCAGACUCCUACGGGAGGCAGCAGUGGGGAAUAUUGGGCAAUGGGCGAAAGCCUGACCCAGCAACGCCGCGUGAGGGAAGAAGGUUUUCGGAUUGUAAACCUCUGUCCUCAGGGAAGAAAGAAAUGACGGUACCUGGGGAGGAAGCCCCGGCUAACUACGUG